rnacentral:piRNA from 1 species
UCCAUUCGAGACAUUGCGGUCCUUUUUUCC